UACGUAGGGCGCAAGCGUUAUCCGGAAUUAUUGGGCGUAAAGAGCUCGUAGGCGGCCGUUCGCGUCGGAUGUGAAAGCUCAGGGCUCAACUCUGAGACGCCAUUCGAUACGGGACGGCUAGAGGUAGGUAGGGGAAAGUGGAAUUCCUGGUGUAGCGGUGAAAUGCGCAGAUAUCAGGAGGAACACCGGUGGCGAAGGCGGCUUUCUGGGCCUUACCUGACGCUGAGGAGCGAAAGCUGGGGGAGCGAACGGG
rnacentral:rRNA from 1 species